CCUACGGGAGGCAGCAGUGGGGAAUAUUGGGCAAUGGGCGCAAGCCUGACCCAGCAACGCCGCGUGAAGGAAGAAGGCCUUCGGGUUGUAAACUUCUUUUGUCAGGGAAGAGUAGAAGACGGUACCUGACGUAUAAGCCACGGCUAACUACGUGCCAGCAGCCGUGGUAAUACGUAGGUGGCAAGCGGUGUCCGGAUUUACUGGGUGUAAAGGGCGUGUAGCCGGGUUGACAAGUCAGAUGUGAAAUCCUGCGGCUUAACCGCAGAACUGCAUUUGAAACUGUUGAUCUUGAGUACUGGAGAGGCAGACGGAAUUCCUAGUGUAGCGGUGAAAUGCGUAGAUAUUAGGAAGAACACCAGAGGCGAAGGCGGUCUGCUGGACAGCAACUGACGGUGAGGCGCGAAAGCGUGGGGAGCAAACAGGAUUAGAUACCCUUGUAGUC
rnacentral:rRNA from 1 species